AAAUUGAAGAGUUUGAUCAUGGCUCAGAUUGAACGCUGGCGGCAGGCCUAACACAUGCAAGUCGAACGGUAGCACAGAGAGCUUGCUCUCGGGUGACGAGUGGCGGACGGGUGAGUAAUGUCUGGGAAACUGCCCGAUGGAGGGGGAUAACUACUGGAAACGGUAGCUAAUACCGCAUAACGUCGCAAGACCAAAGUGGGGGACCUUCGGGCCUCACACCAUCGGAUGUGCCCAGAUGGGAUUAGCUAGUAGGUGGGGUAACGGCUCACCUAGGCGACGAUCCCUAGCUGGUCUGAGAGGAUGACCAGCCACACUGGAACUGAGACACGGUCCAGACUCCUACGGGAGGCAGCAGUGGGGAAUAUUGCACAAUGGGCGCAAGCCUGAUGCAGCCAUGCCGCGUGUAUGAAGAAGGCCUUCGGGUUGUAAAGUACUUUCAGCGAGGAGGAAGGCGUUGUGGUUAAUAACCACAGCGAUUGACGUUACUCGCAGAAGAAGCACCGGCUAACUCCGUGCCAGCAGCCGCGGUAAUACGGAGGGUGCAAGCGUUAAUCGGAAUUACUGGGCGUAAAGCGCACGCAGGCGGUUUGUUAAGUCAGAUGUGAAAUCCCCGGGCUCAACCUGGGAACUGCAUUUGAAACUGGCAAGCUUGAGUCUCGUAGAGGGGGGUAGAAUUCCAGGUGUAGCGGUGAAAUGCGUAGAGAUCUGGAGGAAUACCGGUGGCGAAGGCGGCCCCCUGGACAAAGACUGACGCUCAGGUGCGAAAGCGUGGGGAGCAAACAGGAUUAGAUACCCUGGUAGUCCACGCCGUAAACGAUGUCUACUUGGAGGUUGUGCCCUUGAGGCGUGGCUUCCGGAGCUAACGCGUUAAGUAGACCGCCUGGGGAGUACGGCCGCAAGGUUAAAACUCAAAUGAAUUGACGGGGGCCCGCACAAGCGGUGGAGCAUGUGGUUUAAUUCGAUGCAACGCGAAGAACCUUACCUGGUCUUGACAUCCACGGAAGUUUUCAGAGAUGAGAAUGUGCCUUCGGGAACCGUGAGACAGGUGCUGCAUGGCUGUCGUCAGCUCGUGUUGUGAAAUGU
rnacentral:rRNA from 1 species